AUUGAACGCUGGCGGCAGGCCUAACACAUGCAAGUCGAACGAGUGGCGGACGGGUGAGUAAUGUCUGGGAAACUGCCUGAUGGAGGGGGAUAACUACUGGAAACGGUAGCUAAUACCGCAUACCAUCGGAUGUGCCCAGAUGGGAUUAGCUAGUAGGGGGGGUAAAGGCUCACCUAGUCGACGAUCCCUAGCUGGUCUGAGAGGAUGACCAGUGACGUGGGAACUGAGACGCGGUGCAGACUUCAUCGGGAGGCAGCAGUGGAGAAUAUUGUAGCAUGGACGUAGGCCAGAUGCAGCAAUGCCGCUUGUAUGAAGAAGGCUUUCGCGUUGUUAAGUACUUUAAGCGGGGAGGCGUUACCCGCAUAGGAAGCACCGGCUAACUCCGUGCCAGCAGCCGCGGUAAUAC
rnacentral:rRNA from 1 species